rnacentral:lncRNA from 1 species
GAAGUCAGACUUGUUCCGGGAUAAUAAUAAACUUGUAGCACUGGCAGUAAACUGGGCCAUAUAUUUUCUAAUACUAUAAUUAUAUGGCAUUAAAAUUACUUGUAAAAUCAAGGUCAUAACACUUCCUGGAUUCUUUGUAAUUACGACUGUACUGUAGGUCACAGAGGCAGUACUAGGUCACACAGUGUACUGUAGGUCAUAGAGGCAGUACUAGGUCACACAGUGUACUGUAGGUCACAGAGGCAGUACUAGGUUACACAGUGUACUGUAGGUCAUAGAGGCAGUACUAGGUCACACAGUGUACUGUAGGUCACAGAGGCAGUACUAGGUCACACAGUGUACUGUAGGUCACAGAGGCAGUACUAGGUCACACAGUGUACUGUAGGUGAUAGAGGCAGUACUAGGUCACACAGUGUACUGUAGGUCAUAGAGGCAGUACUAGGUCACACAGUGUACUGUAGGUCAUAGAGGCAGUACUAGGUCACACAGUGUACUGUAGGUCAUAGAGGCAGUACUAGGUCAUACAGUGUACUGUAGGUCACAGAGGCAGUACUAGGUCACACAGUGUACUGUAGGUCAUAGAGGCAGUACUAGGUCACACAGUGUACUGUAGGUCACAGAGGCAGUACUAGGUCACACAGUGUACUGUAGGUCAUAGAGGCAGUACUAGGUCACACAGUGUACUGUAGGUCACAGAGGCAGUACUAGGUCACACAGUGUACUGUAGGUCACAGAGGCAGUACUAGGUCACACAGUGUACUGUAGGUCAUAGAGGCAGUACUAGGUCACACAGUGUACUGUAGGUCAUAGAGGCAGUACUAGGUCACACAGUGUACUGUAGGUCAUAGAGGCAGUACUAGGUCACACAGUGUACUGUAGGUCAUAGAGGCAGUACUAGGUCACACAGUGUACUGUAGGUCAUAGAGGCAGUACUAGGUCACACAGUGUACUGUAGGUCAUAGAGGCAGUACUAGGUCACACAGUGUACUGUAGGUCAUAGAGGCAGUACUAGGUCACACAGUGUACUGUAGGUCAUAGAGGCAGUACUAGGUCACACAGUGUACUGUAGGUCAUAGAGGCAGUACUAGGUCACACAGUGUACUGUAGGUCAUAGAGGCAGUACUAGGUCACACAGUGUACUGUAGGUCAUAGAGGCAGUACUAGGUCACACAGUGUACUGUUGGUCACAGAGGCAGUACUAGGUCACACAGUGUUGUAAGAUAUGAAUUAUUAUGAAUGAAAGCCAUACACUGGGCAUCGCUGUUCAUUGGUGUUCAUGUUUACAGAUUUAUUUAAGAAAGUUAUACAACCAAAACAAGAGUAAGUGCCCCAACAUCUGCAUAUAAUUAUUCUUGAGCAGUUAUAGUUACACGUACAUGUGGCUGUAGUUAUGUGUAGAGAAGGAUGGAUUAGGUACUGAUGUUUUGGCUGCGUAGUAACCAUAUUCUGUUACAAUGAACAUCCAGGGACUGUGUAAACACCUUGUGACGCCUGAGAACACAAGUCAGGUUCAGAUUCUUGUAAGAGCUCUCCUUCCUCACGUGGAUGAAGACGAUUACUAGCUGCUGUAUUUAUGAAUGGUUGGCGGCUGUGGGAUAAUUCUCUUCUCCUAAAUUAAAAUCUCCUUAAGACUUUUACCGCGAGAGGAAAGAAUGAAUAGAAGAGAAGAGAGGAGAAUUAACUGUCGUUCAAAAGGUUUUUCUUUGGUCUCAUAAGAUCUAGAGGUGAUUGAAAGUUUAUUUUACCAAAAAACCCCAACUGUUCAAGAACGCCAUAAAUAACACUACAAUU